CUCAGGCAGGAUGAUAAAUUUGGUGCAAAAACAGGUACUUUUCACUGACACUAUACCAACUUUUGGUUGGCUUACUUUGAGAAAGAAUUUUACACCGGAAUUGGGGUGCAAUUUUGGCUCAAAAUGGUGAAUCCCAGACCAUACUCCC